rnacentral:rRNA from 1 species
GACCUCGGAUCAGGUAGGGAUACCCGCUGAACUUAGGCAUAUCAAUAAGCGGAGGAAAAGAAACCAACAGGGAUUGCCUCAGUAACGGCGAGUGAAGCGGCAACAGCUCAAAUUUGAAAUCUGGCCUUCUGGUCCGAAUUGUAAUUUGUAGAGGAUGCUUCGAACAUGGUCCGGUCUAAGUUCCUUGGAACAGGACGUCAUAGAGGGUGAGAAUCCCGUAUGUGACUGGGUGCCUAAGUUUAUGUGAAGCUCCUUCAACGAGUCGAGUUGUUUGGGAAUGCAGCUCAAAAUGGGUGGUAAAUUUCAUCUAAAGCUAAAUAUUGGCCAGAGACCGAUAGCGCACAAGUAGAGUGAUCGAAAGAUGAAAAGCACUUUGGAAAGAGAGUUAAAUAGUACGUGAAAUUGUUGAAAGGGAAGCGCUUGCAAUCAG